AACGAACGCUGGCGGCAUGCCUAACACAUGCAAGUCGAACGAAGCCUUCGGGCUUAGUGGCGCACGGGUGCGUAACGCGUGGGAACCUGCCUUUAGGUUCGGAAUAACGCCUCGAAAGGGGUGCUAAUACCGGAUAAUGUCUUCGGACCAAAGAUUUAUCGCCUUUAGAUGGGCCCGCGUUGGAUUAGCUAGUUGGUGGG
rnacentral:rRNA from 1 species